GCGUUUGUGGUUUAGUGGUAAAAUUGAUCGUUGCCAUGAUUCGAAUCUUCCAGAUUCGGUCAGCGUAUCGAUCAGCCCCGGGUUCGAUUCCCGGCGGACGCA